UCCUUGGUGGCUCAGAUGGUAAAGAACCUGCCUACAAAGCAGGAGACUCAGGUUCGAUCCCUGCGUUGGGAA
rnacentral:tRNA from 1 species